rnacentral:misc_RNA from 1 species
GAUGAAACGCACCCGCAGGUGUGCACUUUUGCCUCUCUCUGCGUGUGUGGUGUGCACGCGCAUCGACACAUAGGAAAGCGUCACCCGCACAGAUGGACGACGUGAAGAAAGACGAUGAUUGCUCAACUCUCCGUGCGCUGGUGUCAUCGACCAGCGAGCUACACCCAGGUGGUGGUGCGAACAGAGAUGACGACGACAUGUCAGAGCUAGUACCGCUUCUUCAGCGCAGCCGCUCACAGCGAUUUCCUCCGCCGUCUUUUGCGCUCGCUCCCGCGGUGCCGCUGCCUCUGUGGCAGCGUGUAGCCCUCUCCUCUCUGCAGUCGCGUGAGGCGUCGCUCCUGUCGCAGCGCAAGUUCAGGCACAUUCGCCAAUCCCUCGUCCGAGACCUCGGCCGUUACCACGUGGAGCUUCAAGAGCGCGCGGAGAAGCAGCGCCAGCAGCAGCGUGAGGCGCGAGUACGCGCUGGCGAGCGCGUUGCGGCCGGGGUGCGCAGGUACUGGUCCAGGCGUGGCGACGCGUACCAGCAGCUGGCAAAGGUGGAGUUCGAUGUUAUGAAGCACCAGCACGACCGCCGCAAGCAGGAGGACCUACUGCGCGAAACGGAGGAGCUGACGCGCAAGCUCCUCGAGAGCAUUUUCAGCGCCGCCCGCAAACAGCCAGCCUCCGCAUCUGCAACCGCCGCGGAAGGUGGGGUCGUCGACUGCAGUGCUAAUGGAAUGCACCACCGCACCCCCGAAGCGCCUCUUCGGGAGACUACGCCGCCCUUGUUCCCGGUGACCGCGCCGUCACACGCGUCCUUCUGGGACAAGGUCGGCGACGACGACGCCGCCCCGAUCGAGGCGGCGCUUUCGCUGCUGGACACGGAGGGCGGACAGCGACCGCUGCGGCAUUAUCAGCGCUCCGCCCUACGAUGGAUGGUUCACUUGUACGAAAACAACCUCAACGGCAUCCUCGCUGACGAGAUGGGGCUGGGCAAGACAGUGCAGACCAUUGCACUCCUCUGCUACUUCGCCGAAUACCACAAUGACUGGGGGCCACACCUGAUUGUGGUGCCGACGACUGUCGUGCUGAACUGGAAGGCGGAGCUGGAGCGGUGGUCACCGGGGCUCAAGGUGCUCACGUACAUCGGGUCCACCAAGGAGCGCCACCUGCUGCGCAAAGGGUGGACAAGCGAGGACGCCUUUCAUGUGUGUGUGACUUCGUACAACUUGGUCGUGCAGGACCGUAAGGCGUUUCGCCGCCGUCCGUGGGGGUUUCUCGUCCUCGACGAAGCCCAUCACGUCAAGAACUUCAUGAGCCUAAAGUGGCAGUCGCUCUUUGAUCUGCAGGCAGAGUACCGCCUAUUGCUAACCGGCACCCCGCUGCAAAACUCGAUCAUGGAGCUCUGGUCCCUCUUCCACUUCCUGCUCCCCUUCGCCUCGGCGUUUCGCUCCAACGCGGAGUUCAAGGAAUGGUUCAGCAAUCCGAUGGACGAGAUGAUAACGGGACGGUCGACGUUGAAUGAGGACAUCGUGCGGCGUCUGCAGGCCCUCAUUCGGCCAUUCAUGCUGCGGCGGCUCAAGAAAGAUGUUGAGACGCAACUACCUACCAAGACGGAGAAGGUCGUACUCUGCCACCUCUCACGUCGUCAGCGUUCCCUGUACGACGACUACAUGCAACUCGCCGAAACACGGCAAAAGCUGCGUGGUGGCGGCGGCGCUGGCGGCGUGCUGAGCGUGCUACUGGCGUUGCGCAAGGUGUGCGACCACCCUGACCUCUUCGAGGAGCGACCCACCACCUCUCCACUGGUUCUCAGCUACGACGCCGUCGUUGAACAGCGGGUGCCGCGUGAGGCACUACUCCUAGACAACGAUGACCGAGGCCGAUGGCGUUUUCCGUGCUUCCACGUGCUUGAUGUAAACGACGACGGCGGUAGGGUGAACAGCACGCAAGGGCAGACAGAGGUGUCAGGCUCGGACUGGGCCGUCUGCGAGCGCGAGCGCCGAUCAGAUCUGUUUCUCUCUGGUACUGGAGCACCCGCGCCGUGGUGGCUCUUUCUCACCCACGUAGAGCGACCUGAUGCGCCGUCGGAGGAUGCAAUGGCGUCGUUUGCGAAGCGCUUCAGCCCCACCUUCCUCGAAGGACCGUUAAGGCGCCGACGCGAGCCGGCACCGGAUGCUUCUCAACUGUGCAACUGUAGCGCUGCCCUGAAAGCGGCCUUUUUUAGCGUCUUGGCACAGGCCAGACAACAGUGCCGCUCGCGACACCACCACACCACGGCCGCGCAGUGGCAGCGCUACCACGCUAUUCAGACAGCGCGGAACACAUAUGUGCCACCUACGUGUCGGCUGUCGCUUCGACAAACCGUCUUAGCGCAGCGGCACCCGUCUCUCUGCCCCUCCAUCGCCGUGCGCGCCGCUGCCCUCCUUCCUGUGCUCGAGCGAGUGUGCGUGUACGUCCCGGCAGUGUUGGCGGCGCACCCGCCGAGGCUGCAGUGGUCGCUUCCGAUUCCUCACCCCGGCCCGUUCGAGGCUCUCAGCCGUGAAGGGUGCGCGCCUCUGAUCGGAGCCGUUGCCAAGGCUCAGGAUGCCGCUCAGUGUGGCCGCGCGCCGCCUCGGCGGCGAUACGAUGCCGCCUUUUUCCUGCAGGAGAUGUGGCCCAUACAGGUGCGGCGCAGCUUUCUUUUCCCCGACAAGCGUCUCCUCAUCCACGACUGCGGCAAACUGCAGUUUCUCGAAACAGCGCUGAAGAAGAUGCGAGACGAGGGGCACCGCAUGCUCAUUUUUACCCAGUUUGUGCACAUGCUGAACAUCCUCGAGCGUUUUCUUGCCUUGAUCGGGAUCGUGUACACGCGCCUGGAUGGCUCCACAAAGGCGGAGCUGCGGCAGCAGUACGUCGACCGCUUCAACGCCGACCCGCGCAUCACGUGCAUGAUUCUCUCCACGCGCUCUGGUGGCAUUGGCCUCAACCUCACCGGCGCCGACACCGUCAUCUUUUACGACAGCGACUGGAACCCAACCAUUGAUCUACAGGCACAGGACCGAUGCCACCGGAUCGGGCAGACUCGCCCGGUCACCAUCUACCGCCUCAUCAGCGAGCACACCGUCGAGGAGAGCAUCCUGGAGAAGGCGCGAGAGCGAAAGAAACUGAACAACGUCGUCAUUCGGGGCGGCCAAUUUCACACGAUUGCUGGAGUCAGCGGGCAGUAUGACGACAGCGCCGCCGCCUUCGCUGCACUUUCGAACCCGGUGAACCUGCGCAGCUUCUUUCACGACCUCGAUGAGGACGCCACGGUGGCAUCCGCGCCCUCUGCGGUUCUCAUCGAUGCCAGCGACAGCGCUGGUGCGGCAUCAUCGCGACUGGACGUUCUUGAGGCGAUGGCAGACGUCGAGGAUGCGGAGGAUCGCGCCGCGGGCCAAGAGCUGCAGCGCGAGAUCGCUGCCCAUGCGGCGGAGGAAGCGAAGGGGGGCGGCGACGAUGACUCCAGCGGACUGCAUCACCAGGGCGGCACCUUGUACAGCUGUUCUGAAAGAGAGAAGGAGCUUGGCCCGUCUGCUGCGUGUGUCGUUAACGAGGACGCCAAGUGGCAGACGCGGCUGCCGAACUCGUUUCUUGAUGCGCUGUUGUUGCCGUCCACCCGCCUCGGGAGCGGCGCAGCCUUCCACGGAAGCGAGGGCAGUUCCGUUGACUCCGUGUCCUCCGCCCAAAGCUCGUCGGCCGCUGCGCUUCUUCUCGCGGUGCGGAAACGGCAGCGCGAGAUCGCCACCAAGGCGCACGCCCCUGUGGAUCAGUUUCUUGCCUUUCAGUAUGCACGCUGCCACCGCGCAGACGCCGAGGAAAGGUAUAACGCGUUGGUUUUGUCGUACGGGCCGCACGUGAACGAGAGCGUCGGUGACGACGCCGACCUCGAGAAGGCGCGCAUGGGCCUCUUUCAGCCGCGAUUCCGUGUGGAGUACCGGCUAGGCCCCUGAAGGAUGGGCGAAACAACACCAGGGUCUACACAUUGCUCCGGCGCUUCUGCGCAGCUCGUACAACCCGCCCGGGCAGAAAGCGGCAUCCGUUUUAAGCGUCUCUCUGUUCUCUGAGUUGCAGCGUCGCUGGAUCGUCUUUUUGUCUCAGUGCCGCCCCUUGUUGCUCUGCUUCACGCUCGCUGCUGCGCCAUGGACACGAAGGCGACGAUGCGUGGGGAGAGGUGUCUCUAAGACGCC